AACUUAGGCAUUCUCAUAUUACAAGUAAUAAAUCAUAAUAUGCCUAAAUGUUAAUAUUCCUUUUGAAGGGAUCAAUUAGAAAGUGUUUUCAUGAAAUAAGUCUUGUGCUGUAAUCUCAGUGGAUAAAUUGAUUAGCUGUGGUUGCAGAAGGAAUUAAAUGUAUUAGAUGCACCAGAAAUCAGAAAUGAUUUCUACACAAACACAAUGGAGUGGGGGGAAAAACAUUCUAGCUGUUGCUUUAGUCAAAAAAAUGUACUUGUGGAACUCUUUUACUGCUCAUGUGUCUCAGUUGUUUAAAUUCAAUGACAAUAAUUAUCCAACUAGUGUUUCUUGGUAAGAGGAUUUAAAGUAUUUCACAAUUAGAUUUAUGUACUCUAAUCUUCGUCUCUACGAUGUUGUCACUUCCAAGCUGGUAAGUAUGCAUGCAUCUCUCUCUAUUCAUCUGCUUGGUUUCACAAUGGACUUAUUAUUGCUUGAUUUUUGAUUUUCAAAUAAAAAAGCUAGAAGGUCAUAGUGAAAGGAUAACAGCUCUAGCAGGGAAUGAAACUAUUUUAACUUCCGGAAGCCAUGACGAAUCUAUAAUCAACCAUGAUGUUAGAGCAGGAAGUAACAUGACUUCCUAGGUAAAAGGGCACAUAGAAGCAAUUUGCAAUUUAAAAUGAUCGAAAAGGGGAAAUAUGUUGGCAAGUGGUGGUAGUGAAAAUCUAGUCCAUGUGUGGGAGUCAAAUAAAAUGAACUCAUCAAAAUUCUUGCAUUGUUUUAAAGACCACAUUGCUUCUGUCAAAGCACUUGUUUGGUGCCCUUGUGAUUCAUCUAUGCUUGCUUCUGGAGGCGGUUUCGACAAUGGAUUUAUUAAGCUAUGGAAUGUACAAAAGGGAACUAACAUUUGCAGCAUAGAUACCAAAGAUAAGAUUUCUGGAUUAGAAUGAAAUAUACAUCACAAAGAGAUAUUAAGUGGCCAUGGCUUCAUUUCAAGUGCAGAACACAACCAACUUUGUUUGUGGGAAUAUCCAUCUAUGACUAAAGUUGGAACCUUGGGCACUCAUACUUCGAGAGUUCUCCAUUUAUCUCAGAGUUGAGAUGAGUUAACAGUUGUUUCAGCUGGAGCAGAUGAGUCUUUUUGCUUUUGGAAUAUUUUUGGGCCACCUGCCACUAAAACAAAAGAUAAUUCAGGUUUGGAUAGUCUUUUAUCUAUGAAGACAAUGCUGAUAACAUGAUAGAAACAUACCAACAUUGUUGUCUUAUAGUAGCAUUUUUUUGUAUAAAUUAGUAGUCUUCAAACUCUUUACUAUGACAGUGAUUUUUAAAAUUGAAUGUACAUUUUUUUAUAUUGAAAAAUAGCUUUUGUAUUUU